AUGGAAUCGGCUGCUAUUAUUACUUUAACAGGAUUUUGAUGAUUUCCUCGAGGGUUCGGAUAUCCAUCUUUUCUCUCUUGCCCUUGGUCGCUCGAGAUGAUUACAUUUUUUUAACAGUAGCAUUUGACUCAUGCAUCAGCACAGGUUGUCUCGAGAGGACAAUUUUCAUGCGUAGCAAUUGUCGGUGUUUCUUGUAGUUUCUGAGUCUGAUCGCGUUUACUUUUCUUUUUAUUUAAUUCGACCCACUGGUUUCCCCCUUGAUCUUCCUCAGUAUUGUUUACGUUUGACCGCAGAGAGUUGUCUUCCUGUAUUAUUCUUAUUGCCGUUGUCAAGCUAGAUUUUUCAUUUUCGAGAUGUUUGAUUUUCGCUGGGAGAUCUAUUAUUUUUCCAUUAGCCACUUCUAAGGGUCUGUUUAUAUGGAAGCCGGGCUAGCCCGCUUGGCGAGACAGCCCGAUAAGCGGGAUGAAUUUCUCUUGUGUUUAUAUAAGAAAAUUUCAUCACGCUUGCCGGGACAAUUUUGUUACAUUAUAUUGUUUUGGCAGUUGUCAAAAAUAGGUACGCUGAGCGUAAAUACGCCCGCUAUCAGUAUAGUUCAGC